GUCAGUUGUUAUACCAUCCUGAAUAUGCCCAAACUCUUCUCAUCUUGGGUCCUAAGUAGGGUCGGGCCUGAUUAGAACUUUAGAACUUGGAUGGGAAACCACCUGGCAAUACCUGGUACUGUAGUCU
rnacentral:rRNA from 1 species